rnacentral:snoRNA from 1 species
GUGUGGCCAAAUACUGUGUUCUUUUAUCAGUAGUCUAUACAGCCAGACACCAUGCCAAAAUAUAGUCUUCCCUUUAAAAUUAUUGUGAUGGUGUACUAAAUUUUCUUCAUAGCAUAUAUCAUUAUUAAAGCCAAACACAAAU